CAUCGCCGGCUGGAAUCGAGUAUGGACACCUCACCUCGAUCUCAAUCUUCAUGAGCACCCACUGUUCCUGACCUCCACUAGUCGCUGAAAUCAACCAUCGCCUGUGUACACGAGUUUCCCCAAACCUGCAGUUCCCGUCUAAAUUCCAUGACCUCUAGAUGUCCCCCCAAAUCUCUGCGCACUCACAUUGCAGCUCAGGCACGUAAUUUAUUGGUUUAGUUUUUAUUAGCCAAAUAUUUAUGGAGGUGCGAAUUCGAGUUUGAUUUAUUUCAAUUGCAUAGAGCUGGACUACUACUGAUCCUCACACCGAGCCUGUCAGACUUUCCUGCAUUUUUUUUGUUUAGCCUGCACUCAAACCUGGAGUAAUCUUGUAUGGAAUUUUUUUGAUUGCUGAUUCAGGUUAUUGGUUUUUAUUUUUCUGAAACAUAAACGAGAUAAUAAUGUGCUAUUUUGGUGCGUACUCAUGGAAUUGUAGCUUUGUAGAUGCGAAUGUGCUAUUUUUUUGCAGACUAUGCAACAGACUUGGAGACGAAGAGAAAGAAUCUAGAGGUAAUUUUGCGCUGACAAAAAAAUGUCAGUGUUUGUGUUCAUGUUGUAGCUAGGCUGUUGUCGCCUAAGGUGAGCUCAAGCCUAAAUCAUGCGAUUUUUUUAGUUCAGGAAUUUUUGCGAUAUUUAAUUUAGGUUUCGGUGUUCUAAUAUUGAUAAUUGAUAGGGUGGAUUAGAACUCUGCAAGUUAUAAUGAUUCAGGGACUGCCAUAACUACAAUUGUGAGUGAUCAUGUGUAGGUAGAUUCAGUUGCAAGACUUCAUGUUCAUAUCCUCCCUGGCCACCGGAGUAAUGACCUAGAGCCCUGCUCCAGCGCUCCUCGCCACUAGCACUGCUCCGGCCACCCCCACUAUUUUCUUCGUUGCUGGCGUCCGAUGAGCCCCGCAUCCCUCCAUCGUCGACACAAAUAAAUCCCUCCAUCAGCUACUUGGUGGGCUUAGACGGCAAGCUGCGCCGGUGUGCUUCUUUACUGAUUUCAGUGGUAUGCAACCCUUGAUUGGCGCUGGCUGCUCCUUAAUUUCCCCCCGGUAUUCUUCAGCACCGCCCUAUUUCUACCAAUUUGGAUGACUCCCCUUUUUACAUUCUCGUGCGUUUGACGAGGCGCCAAAUCACCAUAGACAUGGCACUGAAAUGUUGGCACAUCAGCAGGAGAGCCUCCAGCUGUUGUUUGAUGGAGUCGAGUGUGAUGUUUGUGUCAAGAAGACCACCACCAAGAUUAGUAGGCGAAAGGAGAACCAGUACAGAGCUGAAGAUCUCUCCUACCUCAUCUUCCAUGAUUUGAACGAUAUAAGGCCUUCACCUGAAGUUCAGGCCCAUGUUAACCCAUCUGUAAAAAUUGCUUUGAAGUUCCACUGGCGCAUCCUCUCCCAAAAAACAAAGUUGCACUUCUGUAUAUAGCCAAAUAUUUCUAUUCUAGUGCCCACGUACAUGUAAUGUUUUUGCUUAUGAAUGUGUCUUUUUAUUGGUGUCGUCCAACCAAACAUAUCCUGAAAUGUCUGUGGUGCUUGAAUGAUGCAUUGCUUGUAUGCUACCUUCUGUAAUUCAACAUGUUAUGUCCACUGUGUACCAUUUUUUUA